rnacentral:rRNA from 1 species
AGAGUUUGAUCAUGGCUCAGGACGAACGCUGGCGGCACGCUUAACACGUGCAAGUCGAACGAGAGAAGAGGAGCUUGCUUUUCUGAUCUAGUGGCGGACGGGUGAGUAACACGUGAGCAAUCUGCCUUUCAGAGGGGGAUACCGAUUGGAAACGAUCGUUAAUACCGCAUAACAUAAUUGAACCGCAUGAUUUGAUUAUCAAAGAUUUAUCGCUGAAAGAUGAGCUCGCGUCUGAUUAGCUAGUUGGUAAGGUAACGGCUUACCAAGGCGACGAUCAGUAGCCGGACUGAGAGGUUGAUCGGCCACAUUGGGACUGAGACACGGCCCAGACUCCUACGGGAGGCAGCAGUGGGGAAUAUUGCACAAUGGAGGAAACUCUGAUGCAGCGAUGCCGCGUGAGGGAAGAAGGUUUUAGGAUUGUAAACCUCUGUCUUCAGGGACGAAAAAAGACGGUACCUGAGGAGGAAGCUCCGGCUAACUACGUGCCAGCAGCCGCGGUAAUACGUAGGGAGCGAGCGUUGUCCGGAAUUACUGGGUGUAAAGGGAGCGUAGGCGGGAUCGCAAGUCAGAUGUGAAAACUAUGGGCUUAACCCAUAAACUGCAUUUGAAACUGUGGUUCUUGAGUGAAGUAGAGGUAAGCGGAAUUCCUAGUGUAGCGGUGAAAUGCGUAGAUAUUAGGAGGAACAUCAGUGGCGAAGGCGGCUUACUGGGCUUUAACUGACGCUGAGGCUCGAAAGCGUGGGGAGCAAACAGGAUUAGAUACCCUGGUAGUCCACGCCGUAAACGAUGAUUACUAGGUGUGGGGGGACUGACCCCUUCCGUGCCGCAGCAGACGCAAUAAGUAAUCCACCUGGGGAGUACGACCGCAAGGUUGAAACUCAAAGGAAUUGACGGGGGCCCGCACAAGCAGUGGAGUAUGUGGAUUAAUUCGAAGCAACGCGAAUAACCUUACCAGGUCUUGACAUCGUAUGCAUAGCUCAGAGAUGAGUGAAAUCUCUUCGGAGACAUAUAGACAGGUGGUGCAUGGUUGUCGUCAGCUCGUGUCGUGAGAUGUUGGGUUAAGUCCCGCAACGAGCGCAACCCUUACUGUUAGUUGCUACGCAAGAGCACUCUAGCAGGACUGCCGUUGACAAAACGGAGGAAGGUGGGGAUGACGUCAAAUCAUCAUGCCCCUUAUGACCUGGGCCUCACACGUACUACAAUGGCUGUCAACAGAGGGAAGCAAAGCCGCGAGGUGGAGCGAACCCCUAAAAGCAGUCUUAGUUCGGAUUGUAGGCUGCAACCCGCCUACAUGAAGUCGGAAUUGCUAGUAAUCGCAGAUCAGCAUGCUGCGGUGAAUACGUUCCCGGGCCUUGUACACACCGCCCGUCACGCCAUGGGAGUCGGUAACACCCGAAGCCUGUAGUCUAACCGCAAGGAGGACGCAGUCGAAGGUGGGAUUGAUGACUGGGGUGAAGUCGUAACAAGGUA